GUUAACGUUUAGAAGAAUUGGGUGGAAUCUGUCAGAAAAGGCAUAACUGUAAAGUUCUAAGAGGAUUGAAGCAGCCUCAGGGCAUUGAGCACAGACUGAAUUACUCAGUGACGCUUAGAUCAGGUCAGAUCAAAUUCUCAAGCAAACAGUUGGCUGGGGAUAUUCAGUAGCAACGGUGAGGAGAGAGAGGAACAAUUCACAUUUCAAGGGACCCUUCCUCAAAACGGUCUGUUCUGAAGGAGCUUUCCCGCAGAAAUCAUUGGAUUGAAAGCUUCUGGCAACAAAAUG